rnacentral:rRNA from 1 species
UACGGGGGGAGCAAGCGUUGUUCGGAUUUACUGGGCGUAAAGGGCGCGUAGGCGGGCUGUCAAGUCUGGGGUGAAAUCCCACGGCUCAACCGUGGAACUGCCUUAGAUACUGACGGCCUCGAGGAAGGUAGGGGCAUGCGGAACUGUAGGUGGAGCGGUGAAAUGCGUUGAUAUCUACAGGAACUCCGGUGGCGAAAGCGGCGUGCUGGACCUUUUCUGACGCUGAGGCGCGAAAGCUAGGGGAGCAAACGGG